rnacentral:tRNA from 1 species
GGGGCGUUAGCUCAGCGGUAGAGCAUCUGCCUUUUAAGCAGAGGGCCGUUGGUUCAACUCCAACACGCCUCA